rnacentral:tRNA from 1 species
GGGAAUGUGGCUUAGUGGUAGAGUGCUUGCCUAGCAUGCAUGAAGCCCUGGGUUCAAUUCCUCAUCACCA